rnacentral:misc_RNA from 1 species
CAGCUUUUCUGAAGACCAUUCAUUGUUAUUGGUUUUUGUGUUGGACACUGUUUACAUUUGAUAUUCGUGCAAUCAUCUGUGCUCUUGGAUGGUCUUUGAUGUAGUGUGUGAUCUCCUAUUUCUUAACGUGAAGCGUGUGAUUCAGAAUGAGACAAAGUGCUGUUAUGUUUUAAGUUAUGUUGAUCAUUGAUUGACAGAUAGACUUUGACUUGACAUUCUGUAUUACUUAUUUUUUUAAUUUAUUUAUUUCUUUUUCUAAUUUUUUUUUCUCAUAGUGGCUGGUGUAAAUUUACGGGUGACACUAAAUUAGAUUUUUCGAUUUUCUUCCUGCAUUUGCAGGUAAUUCCUCUCCAGUUCAGACUGAUAAUUUUCAACCCAAUUCCAAUGUAGUUUGUAUUCAUUGCCAGCUUUUUGCCCUGAAUGUUAUAAAUGUAUUAUUCGGUAUAGAGUUAUUUAACUUGUGAUCAAUUCUAAUGAUGUGAAAGUUAGGAUAGGGUUCCACUUGUGAGGCAUAUGUUAGUAAUUGCCUUGAAUAUGUGAUCCACUAGAUUCUGAGAGUUAUGAUGCUUUCUUUUUAAUGUUGUAUAUGAAAUGCAUGAUGUAAUGUUUUAUGUAUUAUUUACAUGUACAUGCCACUUCUAUUGGCAUAAAAAAGCAAUGUUACUUUAUUUGUAAAGACAACAACUAAAAAAAUUAAUUAAUAAAAGCCAUG